rnacentral:rRNA from 1 species
ACUCGGCUCGUGGAUGGAUCACUCGGCUCGUGUGUUGAUGAAGUACGCAGCUAGCUGCGAGAACUAAAGUGAAUUGCAGGACACAUUGAUCAGCAACACUGAACGCACCUUGCGGCCCAAGGUUCCUCCUGGGGCUACGCCUGUCUGAGGGUUGCUUUGCCAUCCCCGGAACCCACGGGGUUCCGCGGCUGGGUCGCAGGCCGCCACCAGUUCUCAGGGUAGCGCUCGGGGUUAAGUUUGGGCCGCUGAGCUCUGACCGCCGACCUGAACUGGAUUGAAAAGGUGAGCCCGGACGCCCAGCCACAUUCCAUUUACUUUGACUACGACCUCAGAUCAGACGAGACAACCCCCUGAAUUUAAGCAUACUACUAAGUGGAGGAAAAGGGCUGGGGGAAAAUGUGGCUACCGGUUUCGUCCAUGCUCUUUACAGCGCCCCUUCUCCGUACUCGCCGCUUCCCGGGCCGCAUCAUGUCCCCCUGCGGGGGGCACAGGGUCCCCUGGCCCCGGCACGACUGUCAACCGGGUCGGACUGUCCUCAGUGUGCACCCGACCGCAUUGCGUCACCAGGUCGGGGAUCGGCUCACGUAAACUGGCGCCAGGGGUCAGUGGCGACCCAUCUUGAAACAUGGACCAAGGAGUCUAACCCGCAAGUCAGAGCGCUUUCUCUGAACACACCCCGUGGCGCAAUGAAAGUGAGGGUCGGUGCGCGCCGGCUGAUGUGGGAUCCCGGCCCUGUGGGGAAACCGUCUCACACGCUCUGUCAGGGAGGUGGAGCGUGAGCGCGUGCGAUAGGACCUGAAAGAUAGUGAACUAUGCCUGGGCAGGGCAAAGCCAGAGGAAACUCUGGUGGAGGUCAGUAGCAGUCCUGACGUGCAAAUCGGUCGUCCGACCUGGGUAUAAGGGUGAAAGACUAAUCAAUCCAUGUAGUAGCUGGUUCCCUCCGAAGUUUCCCUCAGGAUAGCUGGCACUCGAAGUCUCGCAGUUUUAUCUGGUAAAGCGAUUGAUUAGAUGUCUUGGGGCCGAAACGAUCUCAACCUAUUCUCAAACUUUAAAUGGGUAAGAAGCCCGGCUCGCUGGCUUGGAGCCGACUGUGGAAGGUGAGCCGCUAGUGGGCCACUUUUGUAAGCAGAACUGGCGCUGCGGGAUGUACCUAAUGCCGGGUUAAGGCGCCCGAUGCCGAUGAUCCUCAGACCCCAGAAAAGGUGUUGGUCGAUAUAGACAGCAGGACUGUGGCCAUGGAAGUCGGAAUCCGCUAAGGAGUGUGUAACAGCUCACGUGCCAAAACAACUAGCCCUGAAAAUGGAUGGCACUGGAGUGUCGGACCCAUACCCGGCCGUCGCCGGCCACGGGAGCCUCGAGGGCUACACCGCGACAAAUAGGAGGGCCGCCGCGGUGAGCACGGAAGCCUAGGGCACGGGCCCGGGUGCAGAUCUUGGUGGUAGUAGCAAAUAUUCAAAUGAGAACUUUGAAGGCCGAAGUGGAGAAGGGUUUCAUGUGAACAGCAGUUGAACAUGGAUCAGUUGGUCCUAAGAGAUGGGCGAACGCCAUUCGGGGGGGGGGGGUCUCCAAGGUGAACAGCCUCUGGCAUGUUAGAACAAUGUAGGUAAGGGAAGUCGGCAAGUCAGAUCUCAAGCCGCAGCUGGGGGAGCAGUUGCUCAGUCACCCUCGCCAACGUUGGAAGUUUGACUCUUCUCGGGGGCUAUCUUGCGUGGUCUCGCAAGGGGCUGCGUGCGGGGGUUCAUCGGGGUGGUGUCUGCCAGUGGGCCAAAGGCGGACCGGUGAUGGAUUGGGUCCGGUGGUUGGCAGCAGCGACUCUGGAUGCGUACCAGGCUCUUCUCGCUGAUCUCCCCAGCUACGACGCUCGCCGGCCUCAUUUGCGCAGGGUCUCUGGCAGGUCACCUCGGCCGGCGCCUAGCAGCUGACUUAGAACUGGUUCGGACCAGGGGAAUCCGACUGUGUAAUUAAAACAAGGCAUCGAGAAUGGGCAGAAGGGCAAAAGCUCGCUUGAUCUUGAUUUUCAGUAUGAAUACAGACCCGGAAAGCGGGGCCUGACCAUCCUUCUGAUUUUUUGAGUUUUAAGCAGGAGGUGUCAGUAAAGUUACCACAGGCUUGUGGCAGCCAAGCGUUCAUUGCGACGUCGCUUUUUGAUCCUUUGAUGUCGGCUAUUCCUAUCAUUGUGAAGCAAAAUUCACCAAGCCUUGGAUUGUUCACCCACUAAUAGGGAACGUGAGCUGGGUUUAGACAGUCGUGAGACAAGUUAGUUUUACCCUACUGAUGAUUUGUUGUUGCAAUAGUAAUCCUUCUCAGUACAAGAGGAACCGCAGGUUCAGACAUUUGGUGUAUGUGCUUGGCUGAGGAGCCAAUGGUGUGAAGCUACCAUCUGUGGGAUUAUGACUAAACCCCCCUAAACGUAAUGAUACCGUAGCGCUGUUGAUCUUCAGUUGGCCCGGGAUAGCCUGCUUCUUUUGGCAGGUGAGUAGAGCCGUUUGUGACGGGGUUGGGGUGUGGCCAGAUGAGUUGCUGCUCCUCUCCUGAUGCGCACCACAUGUUUGUGGGGAACAUGGUGCUAAAUCACUGGUAGAUUACCUGAUUCUGGGUCAGGGUUUCGUAUGUUGCAGAGCAACUCACUCGCUGUGAUCUAUUUAAAGUCAGCCCUCGAUCCAGGCUUUUGUCGGGGACGGAAGGCGGCUUCCUCCACCGUCCUCCUUUUACUA